rnacentral:rRNA from 1 species
AUUGAACGCUGGCGGCAGGCCUAACACAUGCAAGUCGAACGGUAGCACAGAGAGCUUGCUCUCGGGUGACGAGUGGCGGACGGGUGAGUAAUGUCUGGGAAACUGCCCGAUGGAGGGGGAUAACUACUGGAAACGGUAGCUAAUACCGCAUAACGUCGCAAGACCAAAGUGGGGGACCUUCGGGCCUCACACCAUCGGAUGUGCCCAGAUGGGAUUAGCUAGUAGGUGGGAUAAUGGCUCACCUAGGCGACGAUCCCUAGCUGGUCUGAGAGGAUGACCAGCCACACUGGAGCUGGGACACGGUCCAGACUCCUACGGGAGGCAGCAGUGGGGAAUAUUGCACAAUGGGCGAAAGCCUGAUGCAGCCAUGCCGCGUGUAUGAGGAAGGCCUUCGGGUUGUAAAGUACUUUCAGCGGGGAGGAAGGCGGUGAAGUUAAUAGCUUCACCGAUUGACGUUACCCGCAGAAGAAGCACCGGCUAACUCCGUGCCAGCCGCCGCCGUAA